rnacentral:rRNA from 1 species
GCCCCAGACUCCUAGGGGAGGCAGCAGUGGGGAAUAUUGCACAAUGGGGGAAACCCUGAUGCAGCGACGCCGCGUGAGCGAUGAAGCAUUUCGGUAUGUAAAUCUCUAUCAGCAGGGAAGAAAAUGACGGUACCUGACUAAGAAGCCCCGGCUAACUACGUGCCAGCAGCCGCGGUAAUACGUAGGGGGCAAGCGUUAUCCGGAUUUACUGGGUGUAAAGGGAGCGUAGACGGCUGUGCAAGCCAGAUGUGAAAGCCCGGGGCUCAACCCCGGGACUGCAUUUGGAACUGUGUGGCUGGAGUGUCGGAGAGGCAGGCGGAAUUCCUAGUGUAGCGGUGAAAUGCGUAGAUAUUAGGAGGAACACCAGUGGCGAGGGCGGCCUGCUGGGCGAUGGCUGACGUUGAGGCUCGAAAGCGUGGGGAGCAAACAGG